CCUACGGGAGGCAGCAGUGGGGAAUAUUGCACAAUGGGGGGAACCCUGAUGCAGCGACGCCGCGUGAGUGAAGAAGUGAUUCGUUGUGUAAAGCUCUAUCGGCAGGGAAGAAAAUGACGGUACCUGAGUAAGAAGCCCCGGCUAACUACGUGCCAGCAGCCGCGGUAAUACGUAGGGGGCAAGCGUUAUCCGGAUUUACUGGGUGUAAAGGGGGCGUAGACGGCAGUGCAAGUCUGGAGUGAAAGGCGGGGGCUCAACCCCCGGACUGCCCUUGAAACUGCACGGCUGGAGUGCAGGAGAGGUAAGUGGAAUUCCUAGUGUAGCGGUGAAAUGCGUAGAUAUUAGGAGGAACACCAGUGGCGAAGGCGGCCUACUGGACUGUAACUGACGUUGAGGCUCGAAAGCGUGGGGAGCAAACAGGAUUAGAUACCCGAGUAGUC
rnacentral:rRNA from 1 species